CUCUAGUGAGACUGCCGGUGUUAAACCGGAGGAAGGUGGGGAUGACGUCAAGUCCUCAUGGCCUUUAUGCCUAGGGCUGCACACGUCCUACAAUGCACUAUACAAAGCGUUGCGAACUCGCGAGAGUAAGCUAACCGCAUAAAGUAGUGCCCAGUUCGGAUAGCAGGCUGAAAUUCGCCUGCUUGAAGCCGGAAUCGCUAGUAAUCGCGGGUCAGCAUACCGCGGUGAAUGUGUUCCUGAGCCUU
rnacentral:rRNA from 1 species